GUCCACGCGGUCCACGCUCCCACCCAACAGAAUAAAAACCGUCGGGCACGCGACGGACGGCCACCAGCGCCCCUUCCCCGAGCGCCGGCCUCCAACAAAAAAAAAAACACACCAGCCGACGCGUGCACGCAGACGGUCCAGACGCCAGACGCCAGGCUCCAGGCAGACGCGGAUGGGCAGCCUCGCCGGCGGGGUCGGGGCCAGGCGGCCGCGGUUCCUGUGCCUGCACGGCUUCCGGACCAGCGGUGAGAUCAUGCGGAAGCAGGUGGUGGGGAAGUGGCCCGCCGAGGUCACGGCGCGCCUCGACCUCGUCUUCGCCGACGCGCCCUUCCCGGCCGAGGGCAAGUCCGACGUCCACGGCAUCUUCGACCCGCCCUACUACGAGUGGUUCCAGUUCGACAAGGGAUUCACGGAGUACAGGAAUUUCGACAAAUGCCUGGCUUACAUCGAGGAGCUCAUGAUCAAAGAAGGGCCCUUUGAUGGACUAAUGGGUUUCUCCCAGGGCUCGAUUCUAUCUGGCGCACUUCCGGGGCUCCAAGAACAAGGAUUGGCCUUGACUAGAGUUCCUAAGAUCAAGUACCUCAUAAUCAUAGGCGGCGCCAAGUUCCGCUCACCCGCAAUAGCCGAUAAGGCCUACGCCAACAUGAUCAAAAUCCCCUCGCUUCACUUCCUCGGCGACAAUGACUUCCUUAAACCCCAUGGUGAACAGCUCAUAGAGUCAUUUGUGGAUCCAUUCAUUAUACGUCACCCAAAGGGCCACACGGUCCCAAGGCUCGUUGAUGAGACGAGUUUGGAAGUCAUGUCCCGUUUCCUUGACAAGAUGGAAAAGGAGAUAUCUGAACUUCCAUCCGUCAAGGCUGAGGCCGAGGCUGAAGCAGCCGCUGAUGUUGACGAAAAAGAAGUGUGCAUCUGAUACCACCUCAAGGAUUAGUGCCUGAAUACACAUCAAAUCAGUAUAUAGGCAAAUCACACGGCUGUGACCUCCUUAGUUUUGUGUUGUUGCAAGUGUGUGAUUAUUUAUUACUCCCUCCGUUCCUAAAUAUUUGUCUUUGUGAAGAUUUCAAUAAGUGACUACAUACGUAGCAAAAUGAGUGAAUCUACAUUCUAAAAUAUGUCUAUAUACAUCCGCAUGUGGUAGCCAUUUGAAAUAUCUAAAAAGACAAAUAUUUAGAAACGGAGUGAGUACUCAAUAAUGAUAGCUAUCGUCUAGCUCUUUGCCACUACUCGUUCACGUCCUAUGG
rnacentral:rRNA from 1 species